ACACAAUGUACUUACAUGGGAUCUUUAGAAGGACUGACUGUCAUGGGGUGCAACCUGCAUACCUUUUGUUUUUACCCAACUUUGGGGGAAGGAAUUUGUGCGUCAUUUGACAGAAAUUUUUAGAAGAUAAGGUCCCCAAUGCGCCCUAUUUUCACAACUGAAGAAUAAUAUAACAGGCCAAGCAGGGGUCUGUGCAGAUAGAAAGAUUUGCAGGAAGAUUGUUCAAUACGAGUAAUAAGACCGUUGGGAGAAUGGACAAGAAGUGCGACAAAUGCCAGAAAUCUUGCAACAAGUCUGUCAUAAUAACAGAUGGAAAAAAAAAGAAUUGCAAAUGCAAGUGUGCUAAACCACAACCACUACCGCCAUGCCGACCGAAAUGCAAACCAAAAUGUCAACCACCAUGCCGAACACCAUGCCGACCGCCAUCGCCACCGCCACCGCCAUGCCGACCAUGCCGACCGCCAUCGCCACCGCCACCGCCAUGCCGACCAUCAUGCCAACCGCCAUCACCAUGGUCAGCGCCACCGCCAUGUCGACCGCCAGCGCCACCGCCAUGCCGACCAUCAUGUCACUCACCAUGCGGACCUCCUGAUGAAGUCUGGUAUAUAUGGGAAGAAAAAAAGAAUCCAUAUGAAUGUACCAUUUGUUAGAUUAAUGAUCCUCAUUCUGCAAUUUCUAUUAUAGAUGAAUUUACUUUUUCAUCAAAUAAGGUUUAUGAAUAACUGAUAUAUGUUUCUAUUUGGCGCUAUAUUUAUAAGUCUUUAGGUGGUAUACCCCCUAAAGUAUAUUGUUGUAUUUAAACCUGCUUGUUAACCAGAGGGAAGAGAAUAUACUCUGUUCUCUGUAGAGUUAAAUGUCUAUCAUACAUUUAUGGGUUAAUAAAUUUACUGGUUUGUCAUUGUAUCAA